ACCUAGCCCUGAUAGCAGCGGUAUCCUUUACUUGCUUUUUUAAGCAAGUAAAGAUACAAGCGAAUAGCAGGAGAUUGC
rnacentral:sRNA from 1 species